rnacentral:sRNA from 19 species
CCCGAGCUGUCCAACGCCGCAACAGAAUGCGGGUCCGUAUUACGGGUGGCAGCAAUGGCCUCAUGCGAGGAGCAGGGGGGUCAGUGAUUGCCGGACAUUUCUGCCGGUGAA